rnacentral:rRNA from 1 species
AUUGAACGCUGGCGGCAGGCCUAACACAUGCAAGUCGAGCGGCAGCGGGAGAAAGCUUGCUUUCUUGCCGGCGAGCGGCGGACGGGUGAGUAAGGUAUGGGGAUCUGGCCGAAGGCGGGGGAUAACCACUGGAAACGGUGGCUAAUACCGCAUAAUCUCUAAGGAGCAAAGUGGGGGACCUUCUGGCCUCACACCUUCGGAUGAACCCAUAUGAGAUUAGCUAGUAGGUGGGGUAAAGGCUCACCUAGGCGACGAUCUCUAGCUGGUCUGAGAGGAUGAUCAGCCACACUGGGACUGAGACACGGCCCAGACUCCUACGGGAGGCAGCAGUGGGGAAUAUUGCACAAUGGGCGCAAGCCUGAUGCAGCCAUGCCGCGUGUAUGAAGAAGGCCUUCGGGUUGUAAAGUACUUUCAGUCGUGAGGAAGGUGUUAGGGUUAAUAACCUUAGCAAUUGACGUUAGCGACAGAAGAAGCACCGGCUAACUCCGUGCCAGCCGCCGCAGUAAUAC